GGUACCAGGCUGAGCGAUGGGCACGGACAUGAGCACAAAGGCUCAACGUGCUCCCUGUCUCCGAUGAUUGGCGGUAUUCCUGGCUGCCUUUUGGUACGCGCGGGGAGGGGCUGCUGAUGGCCUGUCAUGCUCCAAGUUUUAUACAGUCCAAACUCCAUUUCAUCACCAGUUUCAAAGCUCACUCUCGUUGCCGAAAACAAAUCUGACCUCAAGGCCCAUUAAGCAUCUUAUCUUCGCGAGCAGGUGGAGUUUGAACUUUGCAGCUGAAUUUAUCGAAAGUUAUUGACAGCUUCUCGACAGCCACGCUGAGCGUGCACCUCGGCGCAGAGGCGGGAGACAGAGGACUUCAACGGCUUCUUUGUCAUGUUAUCCUCGGCGGAGUUUGUCAAUAACCUUAGAAGGAUGGAUGACAGUGCUGACUCACUGAUGCUGUUAUCCCCGACAUCUGGGACGUUAAAGAGGCAGUUUAUGGUCGGGCUGGAAAUGAGAGUCGUGAUGCAAAUUUGCUGCCUUUUCACAGCAUUUUAAAACAUAUCCAUCGACAAAACCCAUUAAUGAGAUUUGUAAUAUUCUAGAGCGUGUUUUCAACUUUCAGUUGAGUAUCCUUGAACCACAUGAAAGCAACAGUGUGUGUCUUUAUUUAAGCGGGAAAUGACCCGUGUGUUUGUGUGUUAAACCCAUUAUGCAUUGUGAUUUCACCAGACCGCUAAUUUUCUCCUUAAGUCAGAUGACAAAUAGAUUAUGUAUCAACAUUGGUUCUUUGGAGGUCUGAAUCACAUGACUGUGUGUAGACAAAGACCCGAAUCAGACCGCUUUGUUAUUUUAGCCUCUCAUGUGAUCAGCACUCAACACCAAAGGGUCACUCUCACAGCACCCCCCCCCCCCCCCCCCUCCCCAACCCGACAGUGGCUGACAGAGAGAGUCUGUUACCCGAGAAACAAAGGUCAGUGUACUGUGUCGUCACAAUUUCGACUCACAGGACGGAGCUUUGAAAGAGAAAAAAGGGCCGCAAACAAACAUCCUUUGUUUUUGCUGCAACAAGACUGCGUUUGUUGUUGUGCUCUCGGCUGUGAUGUCAUCGUCAUGGUUCAUUCUCUCCGUGACCUCUGGGCUGGCGAGUCUCAAAUAGCUUCAUCAGGAGGUGCACACCAAUUAGAGCAUUGAUUUUGUUUCACUGUCACGCCCACACACCUGCACUUGGCAACCCUCGCACAAACACAAACACAAAACACGCAUGCAUUCAUCAAAUAACACAAAAAUAGAGUACAGUGAGUUCACUGUUCUCCGAGUCUGUUUUUUCUUCCCGUUGGGAGGCUGUGCUACACGCUCUGUGUGCUCGCUGCGGCACUAUGAUCUGUGCUCUAUUAUAUCAUCAUUAUCCGAGGCAGAACACAGGCUGCAGAGAAAUUAUUAUAUUGCAAGAAAGCACAUUGACAUUUCUUCAAUUCAUUGCACACCUGAAAACUGCCUGAAAUAAUGACACUCUCAUACAGGAAAUGCUUAAUGCAGCCGACCUUUGAUGGUGUAAGUGAUGUAAUCCUCAUGAUAGAUGCGUCAGACUUUGGCCUUAGGCUCCUCUGAAUGUUCAACUCCCCAAAGACCUAGCGGGCUAAACAGGCCAAACGGCCUCCAUCAAUACAUGACCAAGCAAAGCACUAGAUCACCUCAACUGCUGCAAUUAAUCUUAGCCUAGUAACCAGCCGACGGGCCUUUAUCCAAACAACAAACAAAACAGACACUUUAUUGCCUGAUGACGAAGGCUGGGGCGACAUGUUAACAUCAUCCUAAUAAGCGAGGCUGCACACCGUCUUUACCUGAGAUUAAAAAUUCAAAUGCAGCGAGUGAUCAAAAUGGGAUUACCGCGCUAAGCUUUCUGCAACAAAAGAAGAGGCGCGUUGGAAACGUUAUGUAUCGUCACCCCCCCGCCCCCCCCCUCUGCCACGCUUGUUAAUGUGAUUUAUACGGGGAAAGAUGUUGUUUUUAGUUGACCUUAUUAUCAUGCUAGUCACUUUGGAUUUUCAUCACAUUUGAGCUGUAAGCUGUUGAAAGAUGGUUGUAACAACACAUUCACGGGAUGAAAUGUCUUGUCUUGAAGGAUAAGUCGGAUAUUUUGGGAUUUCCUUUGUUGAUGAUGCUCGAAUGAAAAGAUCGAGAACCAGAGGUUGACUGUGAGGCUACAUUAAGGAGACGGUUGAGUUAGCUCAGCACAAAUACUAGGAUUUUUCGAGCUGUUGCUGCCUUCAAAAUGGGGUUGUAUUUUAUGUGUUAACAAAAAAACUCUAAGGCCUAAGGUCAAGAGUUGUGACGUGUUUGAAUAUAUUAAUAUUCCCAGUGGCUUUUUUUGAAUUCCUACAUUAUUUUUAGCUUGCUAAACCGUUAGCCUCGAUGGCCUCCAAAUGUUUAGUAUGACUAUCACUUUUUACCAUUGUGAGAAAAGCUCACAAGUCGCAAGCACUUAAUGUUUUGACUUUUUUUCUGUCUUUAUGCUAAGCUAAGAUAACGAGCGUGAGGGCUCCCAAACCUUGGGACCAUUCGAGCUUCACGAAUGUCGAUCUUCUUCCUGCACUGACAUGAACAAUUUGCAGAGGACGUUCACAAAUGCAUCACAUUUUGGAAGUGAUAGUCAAAUUCUUAUCAUGGGGAAGCUAGCUAGGCAGCUGGUUGCAACACACACAUCAGGUGAGUUUUAGUGACGUGCAGAUCGAUACUAAAAUAUCGAUACUUCCGAUUUUCACAUAUGUUGUAUGACUGUGUCCUCUGCUUGUUUUUACUUUUACAGUAUUAGCUCUUUUAUAUUAUAGAGCUAUAGCUACAUAUGCUGCUACCAUUUACCAAAUAAAUGACUCUGAUGUGUUGUA